AUAAAUCAAUGAAUAAACAAAAUAGGAAUACUCUAGAGAUCAGACUGGUGGUUGGUUGCCAAAGGGAAAAGGUUUGGUGGAUGGGUGAAAUGGUUAAGAAGUACAAAUUGGGGGAGAAACCAAGAUGGCGGCAUAGGUAAACACCG